AAUUUUGGACAAUGGGCGCAAGCCUGAUCCAGCCAUGCCGCGUGAGUGAAGAAGGCCAUCGGGUUGUAAAGCCCUUUCGGACGGGAAGAAAUCGGGCAGGCUAAAACCCGCCGCGGCUUACGGUACCGUCAGAAGAAGCAACGAACAACCACGCGCCAGCAGCCGAGGUAAUCCGUAGGGUGCGAGGGUUAAUCGGUAUUACUGGUCGUAAAGGUUGCGCAGGCGGUUGAUUAAGACAGGCGUGAAAUCCCCGGGCUUAACCUGGGAACUGCGCUUGUGACUGGUCAGCUAGAGUACGGCAGAGGGGGGUGGAAUUCCACGUGUAGCAGUGAAAUGCGUAGAGAUGUGGAGGAACACCGAUGGCGAAGGCAGCCCCCUGGGCCGAUACUGACGCUCAUGCACGAAAGCGUGGGUAGCAAACAGG
rnacentral:rRNA from 1 species